UUUUAUUAAUAAAAAGAAUUCAGAGAUUCUCACUAGUUCUGGACACAAAGUUGAAGAUCGGUGGAAAAAUUAAUAGAGGCGUAACCCAAUUGUUUUAUUUUGCCUUAUGGGCGUUCGUUUAAAAGCACACUGGUGUGCACUACUGAUUAAAGAUCAGUAACAAGAAAUUUAGUUUUAGAUUGUUUGUUAAGGGUUGCCUCUACGAUUUCUUUCCACCAAGAAAGAAUUUCGGGAGAGUGCUGUGUGUCCAGGGAAACUAGUAAAAGCGUAUCAACUAGUCACAUGAAGAGUUACGCGGUUCCUAGUAGAUGAAAAAGAACAUUACUGUAUGUUUGGAGAAUAACAAUGUACUUACCAAUAAUUGCCCGGCUAACUUUGAAGUAGGCUGAGACCCUUAAUCUCAAGGCCAUGAGAAUUCCCCACGUUGGGCAUUUUAAGGCAAAUAUGGAUUCGCACACCGUCUCCUCUGGCUGAUGUCAGCGAACCCGGAGUUUUGUUGCGAUGGUGGAAAUGGUUAUUGUUUGCCUUCGGGUUGUAGGUUUUCUUUUGGUGGUGUGAAUUGUUCGCUGGGUAUCUGUAUUGUUGUGGGUUAGAAGAUAUCAGGAAAUAUUGAGAUAAUUGAACAAUAUAAUUAAGGGUACUUACCGGAGUUUUGUUAGCGGAGGUCGGGAAUCCAGACUCUGGAGGCCUUAACUGAGGAGUGGUGUCUCGUCGUGUUUAUCUGAACUGUCCCAGGAGUUCUGUUGCUAGUGGUUGUGUUCCUGUCGUUUGGUUUGUUAUUAAUGUGGAUGUUGUGAUUAGUUGGUAUUCCUUGUGAAUUGUGUUGUUUUUGUUGUGGAAAGUAUUCAUUCAUUCUUUGGUGUUUAUUUUGAUGUAAAUUAUUGAUUUUUAUUUCUUUUAAUGUUUCUUGUUUGUAUUGUUUAUAUUUUUUUUAGCUUGUUUAUAUGAUUGUAGUGUUUCGUGUUGUUAAUGUCUAGCUGUCAAAAAAGUUUUUAUUUGCAGACUGGAAAUCAUUAGGUAGGGUUGUAUUUUUUAGUAGUUUUUAGUAUGGUAAAGCUACCAGAUGUAAUGGUCAUGAGGCGAAAUAUUUCCAAAUUAAGAGAAAAUUAAUUUUCUCUCUAGAUUUGGAAAAUGCAAGGCCAUCGGAAAAGUACAUUGACCUUCUUUUAUAUGUUAUUUCGUGUACUUGUGUGUUGUGUAUUUGUUAUGUUAUUAACCGGUAUAUGUUUUUUUAUUAUAGUAUUUGUUUUUUUUUAUUUGUUAUUGCAAUUGAUUUGCACUGAGGACUUAGCGUAGCUUCAAUAUACUUAGAAUAUUUAAUAUUAAAGUGGCAGACGUUUAGUCAAGUUCAUUUUACGAACAAAUUUGAGUUCAGAUUGUGAAUAAUAUUAUUAAAGGAAAAUAAUAUCAAUCUUUUGAUUUUUGUGUUUCUGAAAUUAAACAUACAAUUUGGAAUAGGAAUAUUGAAAAUAUUUCAAGAAAAUUAUUAAACAAAUUUGUGAAGAGUAAAGAUAAACAGUGAUUGGACCAGAACUGAUUCUUGGAACCAUCUUAGAGUCAUCAACGGGUAGUGCAGAACCAAUUUUUAUAAAGUGGCAGCACAACCAAUAUAUUACAAACUGGGUGACCCUAGGUUGGAAAAAGCUUUCAUUGUGCAGAAGUAAAAGCUCUGUACAAGAAGUAAAAGCUCUCUCCAAGAAUUUGUAUUUAGCAAGAGUCUGAACCCAAGAAAAUAAGUCUUAACUGUGGAGGGAACGGAAAUCCCAGUUGGAAAUUUUAGAAGAAAAGGGAGGCAAACGUAUUGUUCUCAGUGGCUGUAGGGAUUAGGUUAAAGUUAGGAAUUACUUUUAGGGGAUCUUGGAAAAUUAUAUUUUAAACCUAUUAGAUUAAGUUUUGAAACUAU